UGACCUCAGGUCAGGCAAAGGGUACCCCCUGAACUUAAGCAUAUCACUAAGGGGAGGAAGAGAAACUAACAAGGAUUCCCUCAGUAACGGCGAGUGAAGCGGGAAGAGCUCAAGCAUUGGAAUCUCCACAAUUUUCAUUGUAUUGUGGCGAGUUGUAGUCUUUAUGGGAUGCGGGCCGUCGCAUGUCUUUGUGAUGGUGCAGGUUGUUCGCAAUGUGCAUUGUUGUUUGGCGCAGCACCGAGUUUCCUUGGAAGAGGACACCGGAGAGGGUGAGAGUCCCGUUGGUGCUACAUUAUUUGCGCUGAUGUGCGGUGUGUGGUCCGUUUAUUCUCUUGAGUCGGGUUGUUUGGGAAUGCAGCCCAAAGCCGGGUGGUAAACUGCAUCCAAGGCUAAAUACUGGCACGAGACCGAUAGCGAACAAGUACCGUGAGGGAAAGAUGAAAAGCACUUUGAAAAGAGAGUUAAACAGUACGUGAAACCGUUGACAGAGAAUCGCUUGCAGCUAGCAGAGACUGGGCGCGCCUUGUGAUCAGGGUUGGUGUUGUGCAUAACAGUGGUGCGGGGGGUGUAUUGUGUGUACUUGUUGCACAUGUGCGCCGCUGCGUUGCUGUUGUUGUGUGCUGCGCUGCCUGCACUCGCGGGGCGUGUCUGCCAGCAUGAGUUUUGUGUGUGAGAGACGGCGAUGCGAGGGCGCCCUUGUGCGUGGCGCAUCUGCUUUUUAUGUUUCUGUCGCACGCGGGACUGAGGAAAUUAUCGAUGCGGUGGCUUUGUUAUGUGGUCUUUGGCAUGGGUGCUGUUCUCGGCAUUGUGUUGCGCAGACUCUUGUUUUGGCACGGGAGACUCGUUCUCUUGUGCUGUUGACAGAGUGUGUGCGGGCGGUGUUGGGAAUGUUGCGCUUGCCGCUUGGCGCACACCACCGGGGAGAUGCUGGCGACAGGGCUGCAAACGGCCCGUCUUGAAACACGGACCAAGGAGUCUAACAUGUGCGCGAGUGUUUUAGCGAGCAUGAAGCUAGGGCGCGCAAUGAAAGUGAGAGGUGGGAUGCAGUGUUGGGAAGUGUGCGUGAGUACACUUUUAACAGCAGGACUCGCAGCACCAUCGACCGAUCUGGAUUGGGGGAGGGGGGAAAAGCACUUUUGUGUGGCUCCACCCUCCUCCGCUGAAGGAUUUGCGUUUUAGCGCAGAUGUUAGGACCCGAUAGAUGGUGAACUAUGCCUGAGUAGGGCGAAGCCAGAGGAAACUCUGGUGGAGGCUCGUAGCGAUCAUGACGUGCAAAUCUGUCGUCGAACUUGGGUAUAGGGGCGAAAGACUCAUCGAACCAUCUAGUAGCUGGUUCCCACCGAAGUUUCCCUCAGGAUAGCUGAGACUUAUAUUAUGAUCUUUUGGUUAGUUUUAUCUGGUAAAGCGAAUGAUUAGAGGCCUUGGGGGAGCCACUUCCCUCAACCUAUUCUCAAACUUUAAAUGGGUAAGGCGGCGCGCUUUCUUUGUUUAUGAAGCGGGCAAUGCUGAAUAACCGAGUCUCAAGUGGGCCAUUUUUGGUAAGCAGAACUGGCGAUGCGGGAUGAACCGAACGCGGAGUUAGGGUGCCGGAAUCGACGCUCAUGAGAACCCACAAAAGGUGUUGGUUGAUAUAGACAGCAGGACGGUGGCCAUGGAAGUCGGAAUCCGCUAAGGAGUGUGUAACAACUCACCUGCCGAAUCAACUAGCCCUGAAAAUGGAUGGCGCUCAAGCGUCGUACCUAUACUCCGCUGUGUGUGGAAGAGAGCGAGCGAAGCGAGCAUUCGUGCUUGUUGCGUCUCAAAACUACAUGUAGCCACACACAAGUAGGUGGGCGUGGAGGUGUUUGCGUGAGAGCAAUCUUUUGAACAAGCCGUGGAAGCCUGUGGCGUGAGCCUGGGUGGAGGG
rfam:Salpingoeca sp. ATCC 50818 unplaced genomic scaffold supercont1.43, whole genome shotgun sequence.